AUAAAAGGGAAAGCUGGGCUCAGAUUAACCUGGAGCUCAGCGAGCUGGGAAGCGGUGGCCAGGUCUCAAAGCCAAUUCCCAGCCCAGGCCCUGUGCUACCUGCUGAACCCAUGCCCAGCAGGGCAGCAGAUCGCUCUGGAUGUGGUUCUGGCAGCAGAGCCCAGCACGCUCCAGUCCUGUGUUUAAGGUAUGUGCUCGCUUUCUGCUUCCCUUUCUGCUCUCUGCAACAGCAGCCGUGCUGCUUCCUGCCUCUCUGCCCAGGGCUGCUGCUGUUACCCCAGAGGAUUUUCUUUGGGAUGCUUUCUCCUUUUCCAAAAUGAGCCCGGCUGGUGGCUGAACCAAAGGGAACACUAUGAAUGUGCCCAGGGCUGCUUGCCCCCCUUCCCCCCGAUCCCGUGGGGAAGGCUGCAGAAAGGUGUAUUUGUGCCUUUCAGGUGUCACCAGCCCAGCUAGAGAAGUGCUCAGCCCGCAGAGCUAACCACAGUUAUUUUAGCUCGCUGGUGUUGAUGUUCACCUCCCAGCUGCAGCAAGCCAGCUCUUUCAGCUGCUUGCAAGGUCCUGUUUCAGCAACAAACACAACUGCUGCUCCUGCCCCGGUUCAAUCCAGGGCUCUGGAGUUUGGGGCUUUUUGUCCCCUCCAAACAACAGCAAGAAGGACUUCAAGAGGCAUUAAAUAGCAAACGGAGGGGAUUUUGCUGUUCAGACCGGAUUGGUACUGCUGGGUCUGGUGAGGGCAGGGGACCUCCAGGGAUGCUGUAAUCAUUGAGUGCCCUCUGCAUCUUGGACUCUUCUGCUGGACAGGCAGAAAAGUGCAUGACCCAUUCAUCUGUCUGUUUUUUGGGCCUCAGCUUCCAGGUGCUUCCUGAGCUCUGUCCUCUGCUCCGUUCAAGGCUUUCCCUUGGCUCCUGCCUGCAGCCAGGAAGUCUGUGAAGAGGGAUUCCCUGGAUGUGACACUGCCCUGGAUGUGAAUCUCCGCUUUUCAGCUCUCUGAAAGGAGCAUCUCAGGCUUUGCCUCAUGAUUGCAGAGGAGGUGGAUAUGCAAAAACCUCCUCCGGCUGCUUUUAAUGCAGGCAAAGGCAGAGACUGUUCACAUCAGGGUGAAAGUUGGAGCUGUCAUCCUCAGGGCAGCAAGAGCCCCCCUGUGUGGUCCUGCCCCUAGCCUGGUUUUUGGGUGGGCAGAUGAGACCCCGUGGGAAACACAGACCCUUUCUGGCCACAAAAACUGGAGCAGGAGCAUCAUCACUUUCUGGGUAUGGACCUUAGCAUCAGCACCCACACACCAACCCCGUGCUUCUGGGAUGUUUAGGAGCCUGUCCUGCCAUAGGGAUGCUCAGGUUCCGGGGGCUCCAGCUAUCAGCACCAGGCUGGGCUGUGCAGCGGGGUGAGAGAAAAGCACCGCUCGCCAUCACCCACCCACAGCCUUGGCAGGGCUCAAAUGGGACUGGAGGGGGGAGAGCAGGGAGGGAAGGAUGGGAGGAGCUGGGACUUCACCGACCCGAUUAACCAGGUUAGAAACCAACCUUGCAAAACCCACAACACGGAUGGGAGCAGGGCUGGAAAUCCCCCUCUCAGCUUUCAGUAGGAGCUGGGAUGCAAGGCACGUUUGGUGGGCACGGCGACGGUGAGCAGUGCUGGAGAGCCAGGAGCAGCGGCGAGGCCCCGAGAAGAGGAUGAGAACAUGGGGCUCAAGUUAUCCUGUCUGAAAGGGUUGAAGAUGUGUGUGAGCAGCGGGAAUGGCAGCACCGGGACCCCAGAACCGGAUGGGAAGCACCUCCACGUGCCCUCCAUCAUCGUCACACCACCCACACCCACAGGGACUAUGCUGUGCCGGGACACACGGAGGGCGACGGGGGGGACAUCGCCACCCUGCAACCAGUGCUGAGCACCCAGAGGGGACCCCAACAGCUUCAGUACUGCCCCCAGGGCUGAAUCCUGCCCUGCUGGGGGUGAUGCUUCCUGGUGUGCUGCUUCACUGGAGAGCCCCAGGAGAGGACGGCGUGCAAAAGCAGAUGGAAAUUUAAUUUUUUAAUGACAGCAGCAGAUGGCAAAAGACACAAAAGUGUAUUCACACCAUGUCAGAGCCAUUUAUAAAGUGCCUGGCGGAGCUGCAGCGCGUGCUGGUGGCACCACGGGUAUAGUAAUGGAUGGGGGAUCCUCUCCUGCAGCCCCCAGACCUACCCAGUGUGGGCUGAUGGGACCUGUGGAGUGGUGGGGAGCACUGGUCCUUUGGGCUCAAGAUGGAGGCAUGGAUGGGUGGACGGAUGAGUGGAGGUAUGGGUGAUUGGAUGGCUGGAUAGGAGGUUAGGUGGGUGGAUGGAUGGAUGGGUGGGUGGCUGGACAAAUGGAAGAGUGGACGCAUGGAUGGACAGAUGGAGGCAUGGAUGUAUAAAUGGGAUGUGUAAAUGAAUAGAUGGAUGAAUGGGCAGACACAUGGGUAGAUGAAUGGGUGGAUGGAUGGAAGAGUGGCCAGACAAAUGGACAGACGAGUGGGUGGACAGAUGGAUGGAUGGACGGAUGGACGGACG